rnacentral:rRNA from 1 species
UACAGAGGGGGCAAGCGUUAUUCGGAAUUACUGGGCGUAAAGCGCGUGUAGGCGGCAAGGCAAGUCGGGUGUGAAAGCCCUGGGCUCAACCCAGGAAGUGCAUUCGAUACUGCCAAGCUAGAGUCCCGGAGAGGAUGGUGGAACUCUCGGUGUAGAGGUGAAAUUCGUAGAUAUCGAGAAGAACACCGGUGGCGAAGGCGGCCAUCUGGACGGUGACUGACGCUGAGACGCGAAAGCGUGGGGAGCAAACAGG